AGCAGCCGCCGCGGUAAAACGUAGGUGGCAAGCGUUGUCCGGAAUUAUUGGGCGUAAAGGGCUCGCAGGCGGUUUCUUAAGUCUGAUGUGAAAGCCCCCGGCUCAACCGGGGAGGGUCAUUGGAAACUGGGAAACUUGAGUGCAGAAGAGGAGAGUGGAAAUCCACGUGUAGCGGUGAAAUGCGUAGAGAUGUGGAGGAACACCAGUGGCGAAGGCGACUCUCUGGUCUGUAACUGACGCUGAGGAGCGAAAGCGUGGGGAGCGAACAGGAUUAGAUACCCCCGUAGUCCCUGUCUCUUAUAC
rnacentral:rRNA from 1 species